AUUAUACCGCGAAACUGCGNAAUGGNUCAUCUAUAUANGUUAUCGUUUAUUUGAUAGCACUUUACUACUUGGAUAACCGUGGUAAUUCUAGAGCUAAUACAUGCUAAAAACCCCGACUUCGGAAGGGGUGUAUUUAUUAGAUUAAAAGCCAACGCCCUUCGGGGCUCCCUGGUGAUUCAUAAUAACUUCUCGAAUCGCAUGGCCUUGCGCCGGCGAUGGUUCAUUCAAAUUUCUUCCCUAUCAACUUUCGAUGCGAGGGUCUUGUCCUCGCAUGGUUGCAACGGGUAACGGAGGGUUAGGGCUCGACCCCGGAGAAGGAGCCUGAGAAACGGCUACUACAUCCAAGGAAGGCAGCAGGCGCGCAAAUUACCCAAUCCCGACACGGGGAGGUAGUGACAAUAAAUACUGAUACAGGGCUCUUUAGGGUCUUGUAAUCGGAAUGAGUACAAUUUAAAUCCCUUAACGAGGAACAAUUGGAGGGCAAGUCUGGUGCCAGCAGCCGCGGUAAUUCCAGCUCCAAUAGCGUAUAUUAAAGUUGUUGUGGUUAAAAAGCUCGUANUCGAACCUUGGGCCUGGNCGGCCGGUCCCCCUCACCGGGUGCACUGAUCCGGCCGGGCCUUUCCCUCUGUGGAACCCCAUGGCCUUCACUGGCUGUGCGGGGGANACGACUUUUACUGUGAAAAAAUUAGAGUGCUCCANGCANCCUAUGCUCGAAUACAUUAGCAUGGAAUAAUANAAUANGACGCGUGGUUCUAUUUUUGUUGGUUUCUANGACCGCCGUAAUGAUUAAUAGGNACAGUCGGGGGCAUCAGUAUUCAAUUGUCAGANGUGAAANUUCUUGGAUCUAUUGAANACUAACUACUGCGAAAGCAUUUGCCCAAGGAUUGUUUUUCAUUGNUAAGGAACGAAAGUUAGGGGAUCGAAGACGACA
rnacentral:rRNA from 1 species